rnacentral:rRNA from 1 species
GUGACCGUACGACCUUGGAAACACGGGUUCUCGCCUGAUCACCGAAGUUGAUCAAAGUCGGGCCCAGUUAGUACUUGAAUGGGUGACUCACUACUGUGGCCGCC